GAUAGGGAAAAUCGAGGUGUUGACAUAUUUUUAUCGGAAUAUCAAAAAACGUUCUAUGACACUUGGUCCAAAACUGUAAUAUAAAAAGCUGAAAUAUAGCUUCAAAGAAUGAGCAAAUAAAAAACAUAGGUCACCGAUAAGCAAAAAAUUUAUUUUGCCUUAAAACCCAAAUUUUGGCGGGAAAAUGGUGAAAAUGGGUGAAAUGUCAUUUUGACCCUUU
rnacentral:lncRNA from 1 species